rnacentral:rRNA from 1 species
GAUGAACGCUGGCUACAGGCUUAACACAUGCAAGUCGAGGGGAAACGGCAUUGAGUGCUUGCACUGAAUGGACGUCGACCGGCGCACGGGUGAGUAACGCGUAUCCAACCUUCCCGUUACUGCGGGAUAACCUGCCGAAAGGCAGACUAAUACCGCAUGUUCUUCGAUGACGGCAUCAGAUUCGAAGCAAAGAUCCGUCGGUAACGGAGGGGGAUGCGUCUGAUUAGCUAGUUGGCGGGGCGACGGCCCACCAAGGCGACGAUCAGUAGGGGUUCUGAGAGGAAGGUCCCCCACAUUGGAACUGAGACACGGUCCAAACUCCUACGGGAGGCAGCAGUGAGGAAUAGUGGUCAAUGGGCGGAAGCCUGAACCAGCCAAGUAGCGUGCAGGAGGACGGCCCUACGGGUUGUAAACUGCUUUUAUGCGGGGAUAAAGUGAGGGACGCGUCCCUUUUUGCAGGUACCGCAUGAAUAAGGACCGGCUAAUUCCGUG